CGAGUUUGAUCCUGGCUCAGAAUCAACGCUGGCGGCGUGCUCAGACAUGCAAGUCGAACGAUUAAAGCUCUCUUCGGAGAGUGCAUAGAGUGGCGCACGGGUGAGUAACACGUAAGUAAUCUACCUUCGAGUGGGGAAUAACAGUCGGAAACGACUGCUAAUACCGCAUAAUGCAGCGGCAUCGCAAGAUGACAGUUGUUAAAGGAGCAAUUCGCUUGAAGAGGAGCUUGCGGCAGAUUAGCUAGUUGGUAAGGUAAUGGCUUACCAAGGCUACGAUCUGUAACCGGUCUUAGAGGACGGUCGGUCACACUGACACUGAACAACGGGUCAGACUCCUACGGGAGGCAGCAGUCGGGAAUUUUGGGCAAUGGGCGAAAGCCUGACCCAGCAACGCCGCGUGAAGGAUGAAGUAUUUCGGUAUGUAAACUUCGAAAGAAUGGGAAGAAUAAAUGACGGUACCAUUUAUAAGGUCCGGCUAACUACGUG
rnacentral:rRNA from 1 species